GAUGAACGCUGGCGGCGUGCCUAAUACAUGCAAGUCGAGCGAACAGAUAAGGAGCUUGCUCCUUUGACGUUAGCGGCGGACGGGUGAGUAACACGUGGAUAACCUACCUAUAAGACUGGGAUAACUUCGGGAAACCGGAGCUAAUACCGGAUAAGAUUUUGAACCGCAUGGUUCAAUAGUGAAAGACGGCCUUGCUGUCACUUAUAGAUGGAUCCGCGCCGUAUUAGCUAGUUGGUAAGGUAACGGCUUACCAAGGCAACGAUACGUAGCCGACCUGAGAGGGUGAUCGGCCACACUGGAACUGAGACACGGUCCAGACUCCUACGGGAGGCAGCAGUAGGGAAUCUUCCGCAAUGGGCGAAAGCCUGACGGAGCAACGCCGCGUGAGUGAUGAAGGUCUUCGGAUCGUAAAACUCUGUUAUCAGGGAAGAACAAACGUGUAAGUAACUGUGCACGUCUUGACGGUACCUGAUCAGAAAGCCACGGCUAACUACGUG
rnacentral:rRNA from 1 species